rnacentral:misc_RNA from 1 species
UCGAACCCUGCAAAGCAGAGACGACCCGCGAACUUGUACCCAUAAUCGGGAGUCAGGGAUAUUGGCUCUGUCCUUUGUCCCUGACACCCUGUCGGCAUAUGUUUGUGGUGCCCCGUUAGGAAUGCCACGGAUGUCAUGUCGGCGCAUUAACAAACCCCGCACGCAAUGUGCCAAGAAAAACAAAAAACUGAGAAGGACGCGUCCAAUUUUGCCCCGUUUCCGGUGUGCUUGUUGCGUGGCCUCCUUGAAAUCA